rnacentral:rRNA from 1 species
GACGAACGCUGGCGGCGUGCUUAACACAUGCAAGUCGAACGACGUGGCGAACGGGUGAGUAACGCGUAAUCAACCUGCCCUUCAGAGGGGGACAACAGUUGGAAACGACUGCUACUACCGCAUACUGAAGGAGGGGAUUGCGUCUGGUGAGCUAGUUGGAGGGGUAACGGCCCACCAAGGCGAUGAUCAGUAGGCGGUCUGUAGGGAAGAACGGCCACAAUGGGAAUGAGGCACGGGCCAGAAUCCUACGGGAGGCAGCAGUGGGGAAUCGUUCGCAAUGGACGAAAGGCUGACGGAGCAACUCCGCGUGAGGGAUGACGGCCUUCGGGUUUGAAAGGUACGUUAAGCGGGAAGCGGUACCGGAAGAGAAAGCCACGGCUAACUACGUGCCAGCAGCCGCGGUAAUUC